rnacentral:rRNA from 1 species
AAUCAACGCUGGCGGCGUGCCUCAGACAUGCAAGUCGAACGAUUAAGACUUCCUUCGGGAAGUGCAUAAAGUGGCGCACGGGUGAGUAACACGUAAGUAAUCUACCCUCGAGUGGGGAAUAACGUUCGGAAACGGACGCUAAUACCGCAUAACGCAGCGGCACCGCAAGGUGACAGUUGUUAAAGGAGUAAUUCGCUUGAGGAGGAGCUUGCGGCAGAUUAGCUUGUUGGUAAGGAACGGCUUACCAAGGCUACGAUCUGUAUCCGGUCUAAGAGGACGGUCGGACACACUGACACUGAAUAACGGGUCAGACUCCUACGGGAGGCAGCAGUGGGGAAUCUUGCGCAAUGGGCGAAAGCCUGACGCAGCGACGCCGCGUGAGGGAUGACGGCCU